UGGAACAUAGCUCAGUGGUUAGAGCAGUGGUCUUAUAUACCAUGUGUCCUCGGUUCGAGUCCGAGUGUUCCAA
rnacentral:tRNA from 1 species